rnacentral:rRNA from 1 species
CUAGUUGGUGAGGUAAUGGCUCACCAAGGCUAUGAUCGUUAGCUGGUCUGAGAGGAUGGCCAGCCACACUGGAACUGAGACACGGUCCAGACUCCUACGGGAGGCAGCAGUGGGGAAUCUUGCACAAUGGGCGAAAGCCUGAUGCAGCGACGCCGCGUGGGGGAUGAAGCUUCUCGGAGUGUAAACCCCUUUCGACCGGGACGAAUACCUCGCAAGAGGGGUGACGGUACCGGUAUAAGAAGCCCCGGCUAACUACGUGCCAGCAGCCGCGGUAAGACGUGGGGGGCCAGCGUUGCUCGGAAUUACUGGGUGUAAAGGGUUCGUAGGCGGUGUGGCAAGUCGGGAGUGAAAUCUCUGGGCUUAACCCAGGGGCUGCUUCCGAAACUGCCGUGCUAGAGUGUGGGAGAGGCGCGUGGAAUUGCAGGUGUAGCGGUGAAAUGCGUAGAUAUCUGCAGGAACACCCGUGGCGAAAGCGGCGCGCUGGACCACUACUGACGCUGAGGAACGAAAGCUAGGGGAGCAAACAGGAUUAGAUACCCUGGUAGUCCUAGCCCUAAACGAUCAGGACUUGGGGUGCCACCCGUUCGGGUGUCGUCCCGGAGCUAACGCGUUAAGUCCUGCACCUGGGGAGUACGGUCGCAAGACUGAAACUCAAAGGAAUUGACG